rnacentral:rRNA from 1 species
UACGUAGGGGGCUAGCGUUGUCCGGAAUCAUUGGGCGUAAAGCGCGUGUAGGCGGCUCGGUAAGUCCGCUGUGAAAGUCGGGGGCUCAACCCUCGGAUGCCGGUGGAUACUGUCGGGCUAGAGUACGGAAGAGGCGAGUGGAAUUCCUGGUGUAGCGGUGAAAUGCGCAGAUAUCAGGAGGAACACCAAUUGCGAAGGCAGCUCGCUGGUACGUUACUGACGCUGAGACGCGAAAGCGUGGGGAGCAAACAGG